rnacentral:rRNA from 1 species
UACGAAGGGGGCUAGCGUUGUUCGGAAUUACUGGGCGUAAAGCGUGCGCAGGCGGCUUCUCAAGUCAGGGGUGAAAGCCCAGAGCUCAACUCUGGAAUUGCCUUUAAGACUGCAUCGCUAGAAUUGUGGAGAGGUAAGUGGAAUUCCGAGUGUAGAGGUGAAAUUCGUAGAUAUUCGGAAGAACACCAGUGGCGAAGGCGACUUACUGGACACAUAUUGACGCUGAGGUGCGAAAGCGUGGGGAGCGAACAGG